GACGAAGGUGGCAAGCGUUGUUCGGAAUCACUGGGCAUAAAGAGCACGUAGGCGGCUAAGUAAGUCGGAUGUGAAAUACCUCGGCUCAACCGAGGAACUGCGUCCGACACUGCUUGGCUUGAGGUCCGGAGGGGAGAGUGGAAUUCCCGGUGGAGCGGUGAAAUGCGUAGAGAUCGGGAAGAACGCCGGCGGCGAAAGCGACUCUCUGGUCGGAAUCUGACGCUGAGGUGCGAAAGCUAGGGGAGCAAACGGG
rnacentral:rRNA from 1 species